rnacentral:rRNA from 1 species
GACAGAGGGGGCAAGCGUUGCUCGGAAUCACUGGGCGUAAAGGGCGCGUAGGCGGGAUGGCAAGUCAGUCGUGAAAUCUCUCGGCUCAACCGAGAAACGUCGGCUGAUACUGCCGUUCUUGAGGGAUGCAGAGGAGACUGGAAUUCCCGGUGUAGCGGUGAAAUGUGUAGAGAUCGGGAGGAACACCAGUGGCGAAGGCGACUCUUUGGCCUGUAACUGACACUGAGGCGCGAAAGCGUGGGGAGCAAACAGG